GAGUUUGAUCUUGGCUCAGAUUGAACGCUGGCGGCAGGCCUAACACAUGCAAGUCGAGCGGUAGAGAGAAGCUUGCUUCUCUUGAGAGCGGCGGACGGGUGAGUAAUGCCUAGGAAUCUGCCUGGUAGUGGGGGAUAACGCUCGGAAACGGACGCUAAUACCGCAUACGUCCUACGGGAGAAAGCAGGGGACCUUCGGGCCUUGCGCUAUCAGAUGAGCCUAGGUCGGAUUAGCUAGUUGGUGAGGUAAUGGCUCACCAAGGCGACGAUCCGUAACUGGUCUGAGAGGAUGAUCAGUCACACUGGAACUGAGACACGGUCCAGACUCCUACGGGAGGCAGCAGUGGGGAAUAUUGGACAAUGGGCGAAAGCCUGAUCCAGCCAUGCCGCGUGUGUGAAGAAGGUCUUCGGAUUGUAAAGCACUUUAAGUUGGGAGGAAGGGCAGUAAAUUAAUACUUUGCUGUUUUGACGUUUACCGACAGAAUAAGCACCGGCUAACUCUAGUGCCAGCA
rnacentral:rRNA from 1 species